UACAGAGGUCCCAAGCGUUGUUCGGAUUCACUGGGCGUAAAGGGUGCGUAGGUGGUGGGGUAAGUCGGAUGUGAAAUCUCCGAGCUCAACUCGGAAAUGGCAUUGGAAACUACCCUGCUUGAGGGUCGGAGGGGGGACUGGAAUGCUUGGUGUAGCAGUGAAAUGCGUAGAUAUCUGGAGGAACACCGGUGGCGAAGGCGGCAUCCUGGACCAAUAUUGACGCUGAGGAGCGAAAGCCAGGGGAGCAAACGGG
rnacentral:rRNA from 1 species